UGGGGAAUAUUGGACAAUGGGCGCAAGCCUGAUCCAGCCAUGCCGCGUGAGUGAUGAAGGCCCUAGGGUUGUAAAGCUCUUUCGCCAGGGACGAUAAUGACGGUACCUGGAUAAGAAGCCCCGGCUAACUUCGUGCCAGCAGCCGCGGUAAUACGAAGGGGGCUAGCGUUGUUCGGAAUCACUGGGCGUAAAGCGCACGUAGGCGGAUCUUUAAGUCAGGGGUGAAAUCCCGAGGCUCAACCUCGGAACUGCCUUUGAUACUGGGGAUCUCGAGUCCGGGAGAGGUGAGUGGAACUGCGAGUGUAGAGGUGAAAUUCGUAGAUAUUCGCAAGAACACCAGUGGCGAAGGCGGCUCACUGGCCCGGAACUGACGCUGAGGUGCGAAAGCGUGGGGAGCAAACAGG
rnacentral:rRNA from 1 species